UCCAGCGCCACAAGUGGGAAUCAUCAUUACUGGGCCUAAAGCGUCCGUAGCCGGUUUUGUAAAUCUUUUGUGAAAUUGUAGAGCUUAACUCUGCAACGUGCAGAAGACACUGCAAAACUUGGGACUGGGAGGGGUUAGGAGUAUUCUUAGGGGAGAGGUAAAAUGUUAUAAUCCUAAAAAGACUACCUGUGGCGGAGGCGCCUAACCAGAACAGAUCCGACGGUGAGGGACGAAAGCUAGGGGAGCAAAACGGAUUAGAUACCCGAGUAGUCCUAGCUGUAAACGCUGCGAGCAAGGUGUUGCGUAUUCUACGCGAAUAUGCAGUAUCGAAGAGAAGUCGUUAAGCUCGCCGCCUGGGAAGUACGGUCGCAAGACUGAAACUUAAAGGAAUUGGCGGGGGAGCACCACAAGGGGUGCGGCGUGCGGUUUAAUCCAACUCUACACGGAGAAUCUCACCAGAGGCGACGGCAGUAUGAAAGUCAGUCUAAAGGGCUUACUUGACGAGCCGAGAGGUAGUGCAUGGCCGACGUCAGCUCGUGCCGUAAGGUGUCCUGUUAAGUCAGGCAACGAGCAAGACCUGUACCUACAAUUGCUAACGAGUCUUUUGACGAUCGAGCACUUUGUAGGGACUGCCGUGGAAACACGGAGGAAGGUGCAGGCAACGUUAGGUCUGUAUGCUCCGAAUCUUCUGGGCUACACGCGCGCAACAAUGGUAAGGACAAUGGGCUGCAACACCGAAAGGUGAAGCUAAACCUCGAAACCUUAUCCAAGUCCAGAUUGAGGGUUGUAACUCACCCUCAUGACGAUGGAAUCCCUAGUAAUGGGAGGUUAUCAGCUUCCCGUGAAUAUGUCCCUGCUCCU
rnacentral:rRNA from 1 species